ACAACACGGGAGAAAACACCUCCGCCGCUGUGUUCUUAUGAAUGAUUUUACAACGGGUGGUAGUAAAACAACAACAAUCACGCUGCAGGUGUCACAGGCAGCCAUCGGACUCUGCCGCGAGAACAAAAAACAGAAUCGCAUAUGAGCACGUGUGCUGCGCGGGCCAGCUCUUACCGCCAAAUUCACAAAACAAUACCACGCGUCUUCAACAAAUUCAAGAAAACGAUUCGAGAAGCCGCAUGUGAGCUAUCGCGCGCGCACUUUUCAUAAAGGAGAUUACACUGUUGUUUUUUUAAUUGGCUUAGCAGCGUGUGCUUGUUUGAUCCCGGUAUUACGGAACAGUGUGUUUUCUUCUUUGAGUGAGCUGAUUAAAAAAAAAUCGCCUGUCAACACAUGGACAGCAAGGCUGUUUGAUUAAUUCGAAAGCACACGUGAUAAUCUCCGCCCCUCUCAUUGGCCGCCGCCUAGGCACCGUCUCCAAAGCAAAACAAGAAUGCCUAGCGUGUGUAGCCCCGCCUCUUUCAGGAAGAAGUCGAGUGUCAACAAAAAGCAGCGUGUGCGGCAGCGGUGAGCACCGUCUGACUCGGCGGAGUAAAGUCGAGAGUGACGUUGUCCGAAGGCUGAGAAAACAGUGCAGUGCCGCAUUCCCUUCUGCACUUUGGGUUACGAAAGUUCACAAAUGGAUGCACUUUGUCAUGACGGGCCAUGUGUUGAAGGGGCAUGGAUGCAGGCAUGAGAAAAUACGCCUUGGUGGAUGACAACAACAAAAGGGGAUGGGGGUGAUAGGGGAGGGAGGGGAGUGGGCGUUUAACAAGGUUAUUAAAGAUCACAGCAUCAAAUAAACACAUGGAA